rnacentral:lncRNA from 1 species
AAUAACCCCAAACAUUUUUCUUCAGAGGACUUUUGCCAAAGGAACCAUUUUCUAUUUGUAGAAAAUGCAUAUGUGAUUUAAUGACAGGACUCACCUAAACCCCACUCCUAAAGGUUACUUGGCUGAUACUUUAAGGUGUACUCUGUCAAAAUGCCAUUCGGGUGGCUCGGUGGAUCCCAUUCCAAAGUGAGAGAGUCCAGUGUUGGAUUCACAAUCUUCAAAGACGAGGGAGCACUGGGGACUUACAGUGAGAACUUACAGUCA